ensembl:snRNA U6 U6 spliceosomal RNA
GUGCUGACUUAAGCAGCGCAUAUACUAAAAUUGGGAUGAUAGAGAGAAAAUUAGCAUGGCCCCUGAGCAAGGAUGACACACAAAUUGGUGAAGUCCUCCAUAUUAAA